AUCUUAGAAAAAAAAAAAAAAAACAACUGUCCAGAGUGUGCAUACUGGUCUGUUCAACCUGAAAAUUGGAUUUAAGCAAGCAGAACGUAUUGGCUGUGAUAAUGGAUAGGCAGUUAAAUGGCCAGGAUAUUUGACUAACAAAAGAGGGAUUUUCUUUUAAAUUUUGUUGCUACACCUACAGUAUUCUACACUUAAUUUUUUUAAGAUUGCAGUAGAUUGGGAAUGGACAAAAGUAAGCCAAAGAACAGGCAUUCUGUCCAGACUGACACCAGGAUUUACGUAGUCAGGUUUUAUAUUUGCCUGUUCUGGUGAAUUGUUGUCCUAUGUAGAGGAUUACACAAUGCUGAGGAGACAGAUUUAUGCAAGAGGAUAGUCAUGAUAGUGCUACAACUACUCCAUCAGAUUUUGCAUUUUCAAAGCAUUAUGUUUUAUGGGCAUCACAAUGCUGCAUUGGAGACUCAAGAACGUACACCAUGGGUAGCCCCUGACGAUGCUGAAAGAAUUGAUGUCGACGUGAGCCCUUUGGACGUUGACAGUGAUGACGACGACCCUACCUACGUUCCUGACGAAGGCCUUACUCAGGAGGAUGCCUUUGACCCUCCUAACUCUAGAGGUCAAUGUUGUUGUCUCUCAAGCGAUGCCUGUGGAAGAGGAAGGUGAGGUUAACACAUAAGAUGCGUCCACACGGUCGAACAAUGUCUGACAGGCAAACAUUGUAACCAAUUAAAAACUGUCUGCCAGUCUUUGCCUUGUGAGCAGAGUAAAAGCAGUGGUAUACAACCUCAUCUGGUACCACUGUUUGUUGCCAGAUCUACUUUAAUCAUUUCACCGCUUAUGAUGUCAUCCUGCUUCACCUGUGAUAGGUAACAAUGUUUGUCAGUCAGACAUUGUUCGACCGUGUGGAUGCACCUUAAGAGGUCUCGUGCUGAUGAAUGGAAGAAGAAAGACAUUGAUAUCCACGCCCUGCCCAACUUCAUUCAUCAGAAGCCUGACUAUUUGAGGAAACCAUAUGAAUAUUUCUCCCAGUUCUUCACAGCUGAAUUGAGGGAACACAUUGUGUAUCAAUCCAACCUGUACUCAAGACAGAAGGAUGUAGGCAGCAACUUCCACAUGUCAGAAGAGGAUCUCAUGGUUUUCCUUGGCCUCAUCGUGUACAUGGGCCUGGUUCCUCUCCCUAGCAUAGUUGACUUCUGGGCCGUGAAGACCAGGAUUCCUCAAGUUGCAGACUUAGUGUCCAGGAACCACUUAAAGGCAAUUCGAUCUUCCCUUCACUUCAACGACAAUGACCAGGCAGCAGCAUCCCAAGAUCAGUUCUUCAAGGUGAGUCCCCCCUUCACCAAGGUCACCAGAGAGUUCCUGAGACUCCUAUCCACUCCAUUGAUGAAGUGAUGGUCCCCUAUAAGGGCACAAGGGCUGGCAACCUUUGCCAGUAUGUAGCAAAGAAGCCUGACAAGUGGGGCUUCAAGUUGUUCUGCCGCUCCAGCGUUUAUGGAUUUGUGCAGAUUUGUGCAUGAUAUUCUGCUGUACCAAGGAGAGACAACCUUUGUGAGCCACCAUACAAUGCUAUCUGAAGAGGAGAAAGCCAUGCCUGUGACUUCAAAGGUUGUCGUCGCCUUAGUGAAUGCCAUCAAGGACCCCAGUAACUCAGCAGUGUAUGCAGACAACUACUUUACUAGUAUAGGGUUGGCCAAGUACCCGAGAUCACAGUAUGGAUGACGGUAUGUGGGCACUGCCAGGGAAAGAGUUGGUCACCCUCCCCUGACGUCUGUGAAGGAGAUGAACAAGAAACACACACAAAGGGGCACACUGGACUAUGUCUCUUCUGAUGGCAUCCUUGUUGCAAGAUGGAAGGACAACAGCGUUGUUACAAUCUUGUCCACCGAUGUUGGUGUUGAGCCCAUGGGAACAGUGGAGCGGUAGGACAGGGCACUCAAGAAGAAGGUUCCCAUUCCUUGGCCAUCUGUCAUCCAGAUGUACAACAACCGCAUGGGUGGCAUUGACAAGACUGACAUGUUGACACACCUGUACAAGACCCCCUUCAAAGCAGAGAGGUACUACACGAGGCUCUUUGCUUACCUCCUUGACUUGAUCAUCUGCAACGCCUGGAUUUUGUUUAAGAGGGUUUGCCUGGCUUUGCAGGAAAACCCAAAGCCCCUCAAGAACUUCCGUCUGGAUAUCUCCAAUUGGCUCAGAAGCUUCAAGUCAACAACCUUCAGAAUAACCAGGAAUUCUCUUGGCACCAGAGAUUUUGCUUUGCCAAGAAGGGGCCAACGGGCAGUUUUGCCAAACGUUGACACACGUCUGAAUGCCACUGCCCUACACAUGCCAAAGCAUGUCACCAUGAGGCAGACCUGCAAGUUCUGUUCUGGUGCAGGCCACAUCCACAGAUCCCGCUGGAUGUGUGAGGAUUGCAAGGUGGCCCUUUGCCUUCCUGAAGAUAGGAAUUUUUUUGCAGUUUCUAAGAUUAUUGAGCAAGUAGUUUGUUAUGAGUUAGUUUUAUGUUUUCUGUAUUUUUAUACUAUUUUUGUAUUUAUUGUACCUUUUAUAUUAAUUAAAUUGUCAAGCCAUAUAUGUGCUUCUAUUAUACAUUGGGGAAAAAAAAAAAAAAAAAAAAGUGAUUCAUCAAUAAUAAUCAUAUGAUUUGUGGGCGAAUCAACAUUAGUUAUAAACUUGAAAAAGUUUCCCAUUAUGGCCCAAUAGAUCCCAUAUGGGGAUGAGCGUGGUCCGCCUAAACUCGCCCGAGGCACCCAUAUGGGAUACUUCAUUGCAUGCAAUUAUUUUGCUUUUGAAAAUUUUGUAAUAGUACACAAGAGUAAAAAUGUCUUGUAUUUACUAAUACAACAACAUACUAAAAGGAUUUUUUAAGGUUUCCCAUAAAACCUAGG